CAACAUUACAACCACUCCUAAUACAUGUUUUGAAUGAAGAAAUGUUUAAACACACCAUGACGCCAUUAAUUACUGUGAGAUGCGUGUAGUGGCGGAGGCGGAGCUUGCCGCCUUGGAGGAGCUUCGGCUGAGCAGAGCGAUGGCUUAUGUCUCCAUCGACCCCAGCAGUGUGGGUGGCUGUUUGAGUCUGGAGGAAGUUCGCUUGAAGCAGCAGCAGGAAAUGAUGGAAGCAAAGAAGAAACAGAAACCGGUGAGUUGUUGAGGCAAACGUGGAACGCUGAGUCAACUCUCCUCGUCUCUGGCAGCUGAACUCAAAGUGAUUUUAAACUGGAUUAUCUUCACUUAUCUAAAGACUAAAUGUCAAUAAAUAAUGUACAAAAGUGGCUCACAGAAAUGUAUACGUUUUGAUAACUGUUGUUCAGUGUGUGUUGUGUAAUAUAUUUUUUAAUAUAAAAUGUAUUUAUUAAUGGUUGUUCACUGCAAAUUACAAAUAUAUUGCGUUAAUGUAGAAAGAAACACAAAUGUACAAAUAAACCCUGAAUGAGGCCGUGGGUUACUUCCAAUCAAGUGGAAGUGGUCCCCACAUUUAACUUCAACUGGAAGCCACAUAUUAGACACAUAUAAGACACAUGUAAGACACGUCAAAAGCAGUCCGUCUCUCUAGAAGCAAUAAACUGUUAAAUUCAUGCUAAAGGUCUGACAUGUCUGCUUGAGUCUCAUUCAGCUGUUGACGAGGCUCAUGGGAAAUGUUGCAUAUAGCGCGAUUAAAUAACCCCCACUUGAUUUGUAAGAAAUCAAUUUACAGUCGUGGAGGAAUUUAGACAUUUUUACUUAAAUAAAAGUAUCUAUGACGCAAGAGAAAGUCACGUGUCCAGGAGAAAAAUGUAUCCAAAGCAUCAAAGUAAAAGUAAGAAAACGUUAUUAUCAAGCAUUCACUGUGCAGAUGUGGGCAGCAUUUUAAUAUUGCAGCUGGCUGCAGUAGUCUUUCUGUCAGUUUUACGGUAUUUUAUAGGU
ensembl:lncRNA